GACGAACGCUGGCGGCGUGCUUAACACAUGCAAGUCGAACGGAAAGGCCCUGCUUUUGUGGGGUGCUCGAGUGGCGAACGGGUGAGUAACACGUGAGUAACCUGCCCUUGACUUUGGGAUAACUUCAGGAAACUGGGGCUAAUACCGGAUAGGAGCUCCUGCUGCAUGGUGGGGGUUGGUAAGUUUCGGCGGUUGGGUAUGGACUCGCGGCUUAUCAGCCUGUUGGUGGGGUAGUGGCGUACCAGGGCUUUGACGGGGAGCCGGCCUGAGAGGGUGACCGGCAACAUUGGGACUGAGAUGCGGCCCAGACGCCUACGGGAUGCAGCAGUGGGGAAUAUUGCACAAUGGGCGGAAGCCUGAUGCGGCAACGCCGCGUGCGGGAUGACGGCCUUCGGGUUGUAAACCGCUUUCGCCUGUGACGAAGCGUGAGUGACGGUAAUGGGUAAAGAAGCACCGGCUAACUACGUG
rnacentral:rRNA from 1 species